AAGGAUUUUUUUUAUACUAAAAUUGGAACAAUACAGAGAAGAUUGGCAUGGCACCUGCGCAAAGAUAGCAUGCAAAGGAUUUUGUU
ensembl:snRNA U6 U6 spliceosomal RNA